rnacentral:rRNA from 1 species
UACGUAGGGGGCUAGCGUUGUCCGGAAUCAUUGGGCGUAAAGCGCGUGUAGGCGGCCCGGUAAGUCCGCUGUGAAAGUCCAGGGCUCAACCCUGGGAUGCCGGUGGAUACUGUCAGGCUCGAGUCCGGAAGAGGCGAGUGGAAUUCCUGGUGUAGCGGUGAAAUGCGCAGAUAUCAGGAGGAACACCGAUGGCGAAGGCAGCUCGCUGGGACGUGACUGACGCUGAGACGCGAAAGCGUGGGGAGCAAACAGG